rnacentral:tRNA from 1 species
GCCGAGGUAGUUUAGCCUGGUUAGAGCACCACGCUCAUACCGUGGUUGUCGGGAGUUCAAAACGACAGUAUCGUUUGUCGGGCCCUAGAAGAUUUCCUUCGGGCGCAGGAAUUGCUACGCAAUUCGAACACGUCGAUGCUUUCCGUGAAAGUCUCCCCCUCGGCA